GCGAACACCAGCUGCUCCCCGCGCCGGCACCCGCGCGCCGCUGCUCCGCCGGCGCUGCCUCCCUCGACCCGUGGCUCCCCCUCGCAACUUGGCGGGCCUCCUCCCUUUUGUCCGGCCCGGUCCGGCCGCCGCCGCCCCCCGCGCCUGGCGCCGAGCUCCCGGGUCCCCGGGCCGGCUGUCGGUGCCGGCAGGGCGCGGAGGGGGCGGGGGCCGCGGCUCGUCCCCCAGCGGAUGAGCUGCCGCGGACGGGGCGCGGGCGGACGAUGGAACUCCACAUCCUGGAGCACCGGCUGCAAGUUGCCAGCGUCGCCAAGGAGAGUAUCCCGCUGUUCACCUACGGGCCUGAUCAAACUUGCCUUCCUGUUCUCCAAGACCAGGUGCAAGUUCUUCAGUCUGACUGAGACACCAGAGGAUUACACUAUCAUUGUCGAUGAGGAAGGAUUCCUAGAGCUGCCCUCCUCGGAGCACCUGAGUGUGGCGGAUGCCACCUGGCUGGCCCUGAACGUGGUGUCCGGCGGUGGCAGCUUCUCCAGCUCCCAGCCUAUUGGCAUGACCAAGAUCGCCAAGUCAGUCAUCGCCCCACUGGCUGACCAGAACAUAUCCGUGUUCAUGCUGUCCACGUAUCAGACAGACUUCAUCCUGGUGCUCAAGCGGGACCUGCCCUUUGUCACCCACACGUUGUCAUCAGAGUUCACCAUCCUGUGGUCAGUGGCUAGACUGUAGCAGCCGAGAACCUCGGCAUCACCAGUGGCUUCGUGAAGCCCAAGCUGGUCCAGAUGCCGGUCAUCCACCCACUGUCCAGCCCGAGCAACAGGUUCUGUGUCACCAGCCUGGACCCCGACACGCUGCCUGCUGUUGCCACACUCCUCAUGGAUGUCAUGUCCUACUUCAAUGGGUGAGGAUACAACUAGAAGCCAGCAGUCUACAGGCUGGAAGAAGGCCCUCACCAGAACCCAACCCUUGGACUUCAGCCUCCAGAACUGUGAGAAAUACAUACCUGCUGUUUGUAAGACACCAGUCUAUGGAAUUCUGUUACAGUAGCCUGAACUCAGACAUAGCCCUUUUCCAUUUAUAAGGUGGUUUUACCUUAUAUUUUAUGUAAAAGGUCCAUUUUAUUUAUUUUUGAAUUGUUGAUUUUUUUUUAAGAGACACGUGUUUACUAUGUUACCCAGGCUGGACUCCAACUCCUGGACUAUUGAUCCUCCUGUCUCCACCUCCCGAGUUGCUGGAACUACAGGCUAACAGCUCUGUUUUAAAGAUGAGAAAAUGGGCCCCACGCAGUGGCUCACACCUGUAAUCCCAGCACUUAGGGAGGCUGAGCCAGGUGGAGCCACUUGAGGUCAGGUGUUCGAGAUUAGCCUGGCCAACAUGGCAAAACCCCGUCUCUACUAAAAAUACAAAAAAAAUUAGCCGGGCAUGAUGGCGCGUGCCUGUAAUCCCAGCUACUUGGGAGUCUGAGGCAGGAGAAUUGCUUGAGCCCAGGAGGCAGAGGUUGCAGUGAGCCGAGACUAUGCCACUGCACUCCAGCCUAGGUGACAAAGAGAGACUCUACCUCAAAAAAUAAAAAUAAUUAAAAAAUAAAGAUGAGAAAAUGGAGGCUGAGGAGGGGUAAAAGCGCUAACUUGACAUGGAGUUGAGGACUAGCACUCAUGUCACCUCACUCCAAAUGCCAGGCUUUUCCCACUACACCAGCAGCAGUUCCUCCUGGGGAAACAGGCUAGGUUAGAAAGGGAGUGAGGGAAGGGACAGGGAGGGGAAGCCCUCUAGUAGGGAGAUGGAGGAUAGGGGGUCAUGUUUUGUGGGGAGAGACACUGAAGGGGCUGCCACUUGGACUGAAUGACCUCCCACCUCCAGCAUUAGGACUCCUUCCAAUUCCUAGGGGGUUCGGAGGCAACAAUAUUUAUUUAGGGAUUGGGAGCGAGAGUGCUAUUCCAACCUUCUUUGGUAUUUGUAAUUUCUUUUCCUUAUUCUUUAAUAAAAGUAGAGUCCAAGCAAAGUCCAAACCAA
ensembl:lncRNA CASTOR3P CASTOR family member 3, pseudogene